CAGAAGGCAGGCAUCAAAGCAGCAGCUAAAGCCUGACUCGGAACAAUGCUGCCUUUGGCGGCCGUUGACUGUGAAGAAUUGUGUUGGAAUUCUGAUGGGGAUUGCAUUGAGUAUGUGGAUUGCUUUUGGUAACCCUGGAUGGAUCUAGAAAAUAUCAUCCCGAGUGAGGCAACUCAGACCCAAAAGGACAUGCAUGGGACAAAAAUGGAGAAGAGACUGAAGGAAAGGCGGUCCAAUGACCUGCCCAACUUGGGAUCCAUCUCAUGGGAGGCAUCAAAGCCUGACAGUAUUACUGAUGUUACGAUGUGUUUACAGACAGGAGUCAAGCAUGGCUGUCCUCUGAGAGGCCCGACCAACAGCUGACUGAGACAGAGGCAGAUACUUAACCCAAGCAUUGGAUUGAAGUCAGAGACCCCAUGAUUGAAUUAGGUGAAGGAUUGAAGAACCUGAAAGGGAGAACAACCACAUAGGAAGAACAGCAGUCUUAACUAACCCAGACCCCAGGGGGCUCCCAGAGACUGAGUCACCAACCAGGAGCAUACACAGGCUGGUCCAAGGCCCCUGGCACAUGUAGCAGAGGUCUGCCUGGCCUGGCCUCAGUGGGAGAAGAUGAGCUUAAUCCUUGAGAGACUUGAAGCCCCAGGGAAAGGGGAGGCCUGGUGAGGGGAGCACCCUCUCAGAGGCAAGGGGAAGGAGGGAUAGGAUGAGGAAUUGUAGGAAGGAAAGACUGAGGGGGUCAACAACUGGAAUGUAAAUAAAUAAAUAAAAUAAUAAUAAUAAUAAAGGCAGGAAGCCACCUAAUAUCAAGAAUGGAGAACUCCAAGAAAAAUCUAAAACAUGCAAAUGGAAGUUGUCUUGGUUUCAUUUCAGUUGUUAUAAAAUAUCCAAACAGAAGGCAAUUUAGUGGGGGAAAAGGUUUGUUUAGUUCACAGUUCCAGGGUAUGAUCCGUUCAUGCAGAGAAGUCAAGGUACAGCCAGAAACAGCAUAUCCAUAGUAAAGAGCAGAGAGGAAUGCAUGUUUGCUUGCUUAUACGCCUUUUAAGUUCUCUACUAUUAUAGUGUUCAAGUACAAGCCCCUUUUCCUAGGGAAUGGUACCACCCAUAGUGGUGUGGGUUUUCCUACAUCAAUAAUUUAAGAGAAAACACCAGAGAGAGAGAGAGAGA